AAAUUGAAGAGUUUGAUCAUGGCUCAGAUUGAACGCUGGCGGCAGGCCUAACACAUGCAAGUCGAACGGUAGCACAGAGAGCUUGCUCUCGGGUGACGAGUGGCGGACGGGUGAGUAAUGUCUGGGAAACUGCCCGAUGGAGGGGGAUAACUACUGGAAACGGUAGCUAAUACCGCAUAACGUCGCAAGACCAAAGUGGGGGACCUUCGGGCCUCACAC
rnacentral:rRNA from 1 species